AUGGAAUCACAGACUCAGGUCCUCAUGUCCCUGCUGCUCUGGGUAUCUGGUACCUGUGGGGACAUUGUGAUGACACAGUCUCCAUCCUUCCUGAGUGUGUCAGCAGGAGAGAAGGUCACUAUGAGCUGCAAGUCCAGUCAGAGUCUGACUAUACAGUGGAAACCAAAAGAACUACUUGGCCUGGUACCAGCAGAAACCAGGGCAGUCUCCUAAACUGCUGAUCUACUGGGCAUCCACUAGGGAAUCUGGGGUCCCUGAUUGCUUCACAGGCAGUGGAUCUGGAACAGAUUUCACUCUCACCAUCAGCAGUGUGCAGGCUGAAGACCUGGCAGUUUAUUACUGUCAGAAUGAUUAUAGUUAUCCCCCCACAGUGCUUCAGCCUCCUACACAAACCUCCUUAAGAGUCUCAACAGCAGUGUACAUCACACACAGCCCUGGCUAUGCACACUUCCUCCUUCUGCCUGACACCUAG